AGCGAACGCUGGCGGCAGGCCUAACACAUGCAAGUCGAGCGCCCGUAGCAAUACGGGAGCGGCAGACGGGAGAGUAACACGUGGGAACGUACCCUUCAGUUCGGAACAACCCAGGGAAACUUGGGCUAAUACCGAAUACGUCCGUAAGGAGAAAGAUUUAUCGCUGAAGGACCGGCCCGCGUCUGAUUAGCUAGUUGGUGAGGUAAUGGCUCACCAAGGCGACGAUCAGUAGCUGGUCNGAGAGGAUGAUCAGCCUCAC
rnacentral:rRNA from 1 species